CCACGUCAUCCCCCAUCUCUGAGGGUUUCCGGUAUAUGUCAAGCCUUGGUAAGGUUCUUCGCGUUGCAUCGAAUUAAUCCGCAUGCUCCGCCGCUUGUGCGGGCCCCCGUCAAUUCCUUUGAGUUUUAGCCUUGCGGCCGUACUCCCCAGGCGGGGCGCUUAAUGCGUUAGCUGCGGCACGGACCCCGUGGAAUGGGAACCACACCUAGCGCCCAACGUUUACGGCGUGGACUAC
rnacentral:misc_RNA from 1 species